UACGUAGGGGGCAAGCGUUGUCCGGAUUUAUUGGGCGUAAAGAGCGUGUAGGCGGCCUGAAAGGUCAGCUGUGAAAACUCGAGGCUCAACCUCGAGACGUCGGUUGAAACCGUAUGGCUAGAGUCCGGAAGAGGAGAGUGGAAUUCCCGGUGUAGCGGUGAAAUGCGCGGAUAUCGGGAAGAACACCCAUGGCGAAGGCAGCUCUCUGGGACGGUACUGACGCUGAGACGCGAAAGCGUGGGGAGCGAACAGG
rnacentral:rRNA from 1 species